rnacentral:rRNA from 1 species
AUGUCUACCCCAAAAGAAAGGGCAAUGGCAUGCGUGCCGAACUCUGCGUCUUCAACUCCGAGACUGGAAAGUGGAAAAUCAUCCGCAAAUUGGACCCGGGCAAUGGCAGCCAGUUCCCCGAACUCUGGUCAACCGACAACGACGGCUGCUUCAUGGACAAUGUGCCUGUUAACCAAGGAGGAAUUUGUUCGUGGUAAUGGGUGGAUGAUCAUGAUUGGCAAGCAUGCACGUCUGCGGUCAUGUGAAUCUGUGGGUGUGGAAGGUUACGAUAACAAGUAUCCUGGUGUCCCCCAACUUUCAACUGUCUUCUCCAAAUACUACCUUGAAAGGCCAACUGCAUCGCAAAAGGCAAAAAAGAAAAGAAAAAGAAAGGCAACAGAUAACUAG